CCGCGCUGUUGCUGUGGACUGGACUUUUGCGUUAUUGUGUGCGUUUUCACUCGUCCAAUAUCAACAAUAAUCCAUCACUCGUAGGUCCAUAUCCCAGUAGACUACCAGCACAUUCCAGCUUUCCCCUCUCGCCUCUGUUUUUGUAUGCUAGUCAUCUGUUGGUUUGUUUUGGCCUAGGGUUUUAGCCUGAGGCAAAUUAAAGACACAGGGUGAAUGUUAGAUUGCUACAACAUUUUCUUACCCUUAUUGCUUCCCCUCCAGCUGUAAUUUCUCUCUCCCUUCUCAUUUACCCCGUUUUCCUAACAGGGUAGUAUCCCAUACGUCCCCCCGUCCCACUAUUUAUGGCGCCAUAUUUUGGCAAGCAAAAGCUGCCUCGAGCGAGAGAGAUGACGUCUGUCACUCUUAUUUCUGACUGCUUUGUUGGGUGCCCGGCUCGUGCGUGUUUCUGUUUGACGGUGGGACAGUGAGCCUCUCACUUUGCCCUCCGCGGGAUUGGGAUUAUACACCGUCAUAAAGCACAGUAAACUGAGUGACAGCCUGCCGCAGCAGUUUCUCCUCCCAGAUCAGACUCCACCAAUCCUAGAGGCCGAGAUGGCCCUGCGAAACGAGCAGUUGGUCAACGGAGAGCGAGGCCGCCACUCCAACCAAUCAGAUCUCAAGUCCUCCACGCCCUGGCGAGUCCUCUCGCACCAACUCAAGAGCCCACCCCUGGGGGAGACAGCCAAACAGGAAGCGGCCACAGAAACAGGAAAUCAGAGCAGCUGAAGCAGAAACAGGAAAUUACAACAGAGCAACCGAAGCAGAAACAGGAAAUGAAAACUGAGCUGUUGAAGCAGGGGCAGGAAGUGAAGUCAGGGAAAGAAAAGGUGACAAAUGAUGUCAAGAUGCCAAAGAUGGAAGUAAAGAAAGAUGAGCAGAAAGAAGGGGAGAAGAAGAAAGAGGGAGUGAUAGAGUGGCAACAGAACAGGAGAGGUGAGGGAUGUGUGGUCCACAAGGAGGGCUUUCGCCUGGGUAAGUGGUGGUAUUGUCGUGUGGUUCCCUGUAUGUGUUGUGUGGGAUUGGUCGGCGUGUUAAUGGCACCCGGCUUCAGCACUCCUUUUCCGACCCUUCGUACUGCGGGAGCCAGAACACACCCGGCUUCAGCACUACUUUUCCGACCCUGCGUACUGCGGUAGCCAGAACACACCCGGCUUCAGCACUACUUUUCCGACCCUUUGUACUGCGGGAGCCAGAACACACCCGGCUUCAACACUACUUUUCUGACGCUUCGUACUGCGGGAGCCAGAACACACCCGGCUUCAGCACUACUUUUCCGACCCUGCGUACUGCGGGAGCCAGAACACACCCGGCUUCAGCACUACUUUUCCGACCCUGCGUACUGAGGGAGCCAGAACACACCCGGCUUCAGCACUACUUUUCCGACCCUGCGUACUGAGGGAGCCAGAACACACCCGGCUUCAGCACUACUUUUCCGACCCUGUGUACUGCGGGAGCCAGAACACACGUGGCUGAAGCGGCGGGUGGGAAAUUUUUCACGGGCUUCCAUUCUCUGAUUGCUUUAAAGAAUAUCCGAUCGCUGGUGACUUUGUUUUGUACAGCGCGCCUCGUCACUCCGGACCACUUCGAUGACGGCAGUCUCAGACUAUGUAGUAUGUAGCGAACGGCAGAGCAGUGGAAGCAUUUAGUGUGAGUCCUUAGGCUAGAGAGGUGGUUCCCAAACUUAUAGUCCCGUGCCCCUUCAAACAUUCAACCUCCAGCUGUACCCCCUCUAGCACCAGGGUCAGCACACUCUCAAAUGUUGUUUUUUUGUAGUCAUUGUAAGCCUGCCACACACACACUAUA